UGCAGUCGAGGGGUAGAGGAAGCUUGCUUCCUUGAGACCGGCGCACGGGUGCGUAACGCGUAUGCAAUCUACCUUAUACAGAGGGAUAGCCCAGAGAAAUUUGGAUUAAUACCUCAUAGUAUUACUGAGUGGCAUCAUUUAGUAAUUAAAGUUCCAACGGUAUAAGAUGAGCAUGCGUCCCAUUAGUUAGUUGGUAAGGUAACGGCUUACCAAGACAAUGAUGGGUAGGGGUCCUGAGAGGGAGAUCCCCCACACUGGUACUGAGACACGGACCAGACUCCUACGGGAGGCAGCAGUGAGGAAUAUUGGGCAAUGGAGGCAACUCUGACCCAGCCAUGCCGCGUGCAGGAAGACGGUCCUAUGGAUUGUAAACUGCUUUUAUACAGGAAGAAACCUCCCUACGUGUAGGGACUUGACGGUACUGUAGGAAUAAGGAUCGGCUAACUCCGUGCCAGCAGCCGCGGUAAUACGGAGGAUCCAAGCGUUAUCCGGAAUCAUUGGGUUUAAAGGGUCCGUAGGCGGCCUUAUAAGUCAGUGGUGAAAUCUCCUAGCUCAACUAGGAAACUGCCAUUGAUACUGUAGGGCUUGAAUUUUGGUGAAGUAACUAGAAUAUGUAGUGUAGCGGUGAAAUGCUUAGAUAUUACAUGGAAUACCAAUUGCGAAGGCAGGUUACUAACCAACGAUUGACGCUGAUGGACGAAAGCGUGGGGAGCGAACAGGAUUAGAUACCCUGGUAGUCCACGC
rnacentral:rRNA from 1 species